rnacentral:rRNA from 1 species
GUAUCCAAUCGGCCUAAUGCACCGGAUUUCAUCAGAACUCCGAAGUUAAACAUGCUUGGGCGAGAGUAGUACUAGGAUGAGUGACCAGAUGUUCAUGGAGAGGUCCGAAGUAGGUCAAGGUG